GAGGUCAGAAUUCUUAAAUGCAUUGCCCAAAGGAGAUAAUCCAAAAUUAAGAGGAGUCUUUGUAGACUCAGUGCAUCAUCAUAAUAGCCUUUUGAAGAGGUGGAUUCCUGAAAUUGCCAUUAAAGUAAAUGGCCAGCUUCACACAGAGGCAUUUGCUGAUUGGUACUUUGAUCGAAAAUACACCUAUUUGAUUGAUGAAACUAAUGAGUUGCCACUC